rnacentral:lncRNA from 1 species
UGGAAGAUGCUGAGUACAUGGUUAUGAGCUGUCCAUCAUCGUCUCCUAGCAACGAGCUGACGGACACACCUGGGACAGAAGGUCUCUGGUCCUCUGAGCUGGUCUCAUGUCAGGACCCAUCAGUCUGGCUGAGGAACAGGGUGUUGGGCCCCAUGGUGCCCCCCCACCCUCCAGGAGGUGUCAGAGGUGAUGAUGAAGAGGAGGAUACCUACGAAGAGGCAGAACCUUAUCUAGCUGCUGAAACCACCAAACAUACACCCGUUGUUCCAGAGAGGGCGGAGUCUGACAGCAGCCACUAUGAGUCAUACAGUGAGAGGGAUGAUGAUGAAGAUGAGAAGGUGGGCCUUGUGAAGGACAGAGCUCACUAUAUCCAAUGGAGCGCCUCGCAGCCCUGCCUAAGGCCCGCCCCCGAGUCCCGCCUCUGUGGCUACCUGUGGAGGAGGAAGUGGCUCGGGCAGUGGAGCAAACAGCUGUUCAUCAUCCGGAACGACGUGCUGCUGGUGAGGAAGAGGAUGAACGCACCUGUCCUCCUGCAGUUCCUGUGGUGUCCACUAGAUGCUGCUGUAAUCACACAUCUGUGUGUGUGUGUGUGUGUGUGUGUGUGUGUGUGUGUGUGUGUGUGUUUCAGUGUUAUAAAUUUGCUCAGGACCUGUUGCCUCAGAUGGAGGUGA